AUUGAACGCUGGCGGCAGGCCUAACACAUGCAAGUCGAACGGUAACAGGAAACAGCUUGCUGUUUCGCUGACGAGUGGCGGACGGGUGAGUAAUGUCUGGGAAACUGCCCGAUGGAGGGGGAUAACUACUGGAAACGGUAGCUAAUACCGCAUAACGUCGCAAGACCAAAGAGGGGGACCUUCGGGCCUCUUGCCAUCGGAUGUGCCCAGAUGGGAUUAGCUAGUAGGUGGGGUAACGGCUCACCUAGGCGACGAUCCCUAGCUGGUCUGAGAGGAUGACCAGCCACACUGGAACUGAGACACGGUCCAGACUCCUACGGGAGGCAGCAGUGGGGAAUAUUGCACAAUGGGCGCAAGCCUGAUGCAGCCAUGCCGCGUGUAUGAAGAAGGCCUUCGGGUUGUAAAGUACUUUCAGCGGGGAGGAAGGGAGUAAAGUUAAUACCUUUGCUCAUUGACGUUACCCGCAGAAGAAGCACCGGCUAACUCCGUG
rnacentral:rRNA from 1 species